rnacentral:rRNA from 1 species
UAUCGUCUACGGGAGGCAGCAGUGGGGAAUAUUGCACAAUGGGGGAAACCCUGAUGCAGCGACGCCGCGUGAGUGAGGAAGUAUUUCGGUAUGUAAAGCUCUAUCAGCAGGGAAGAAAAUGACGGUACCUGACUAAGAAGCCCCGGCUAACUACGUGCCAGCAGCCGCGGUAAUACGUAGGUGGCAAGCGUUGUCCGGAUUUACUGGGUGUAAAGGGCGUGCAGCCGGAGAGACAAGUCAGAUGUGAAAUCCACGGGCUCAACCCGUGAACUGCAUUUGAAACUGUUUCCCUUGAGUGUCGGAGG